AACGAACGCUGGCGGCGUGGAUAAGACAUGCAAGUCGAACGGAGUAUCAUGAGUAGCAAUACUUGUGGUGCUCAGUGGCGCAAGGGUGCGUAACACGUGGGCAACCCUGCCCUGAAGUGGGGGAUAGCCCGCCGAAAGGCGGAUUAAUACCGCAUGUGGCUACCGGAGACCUCUCUGGGACGCCAAAGCCGGGGCAACCUGGCGCUUCUGGAUGGGCCCGCGGCCUANCAGCUAGUUGGUGAGGUAACGGCUCACCAAGGCUAUGACGGGUAGCUGGUCUGAGAGGACGACCAGCCACACUGGAACUGAGACACGGUCCAGACACC
rnacentral:rRNA from 1 species